rnacentral:lncRNA from 1 species
UUAAUUUUUGUUUUUUAUGUGGUUUAUUUCCAUUGUAGGAUGCGCGGAAGGAAUUUUGGUAUCUGUCAUAGUUGUAGAGCGAAGGGGCACUUCUUGCCGAUUGUUGAAGAAAUGUCACAUACAUUCCAAACUUGAGUUCGCCUCCUCAAUGAAGAAGACCUACAAAUUCCGGUGUACGUGACAAUAUGCAAGGCAAAUGGUAGUGUGGAAGCGAAUGUAAAAAGGAAGGGUCGAUCUGAUUAUUAGAUAAACCUCAACUCUCAGGUUGUGACAUAACUUUUGUAUAUGGAGCAUUUUCAUGUACUUUAAGCUCUAUGUUAAAAGAAUUUGUGAACUAAUGGAAGCUAUGUAGCGAUAUGAAUUUGCAUGUUUCCCAUAGGCAGCGGUUGUAAUGACAUGUUUACUUUAAAAUUUCUUACUUCUUCAUGUGAAUCUUUAUACUUGCUUGCAUUUUUGUAAUAUCAGAUUCACAGUGAAGCUUCCAUUCGUGUGAAAGUAAUAUUUUGCAAAUUUUAUAUGUCACAAUGAUGUUUGUGUGAAAUUAAUAUUUGGCAAUUUCAAUGUCACAGGAAACCAUAUGAAACUAAAAUAAUGAAAUCCACAAUAGAAGCUUCAAACUAAAAUAAUUUACAAAACAGAAGUCACAAUCCAUUCCCUAAACCCUGAUAUUUACUUUAAAAGAAGUAAGUAAAAAACCUGAAGUGGUUUAUUUCCGUUGUAGAAUGUGCGGAAGGAAUUUUGGUAUCUAUCAUAGUUGUAGAGCGAAGGGGCACUUCUUGCCGAUUGUUGAAGAAAUGUCACACACAUUCCAAACUUGAGUUCACCUCCUCGAUGAAGAAGAAUUACAAAUUUCGGUGUACGUGACAAUAUGCAAGACAAAUGGAAGUUUGGAAGCGAAUGCAAAAGGGAAGGGUUGAUCUGAUUAUUAGAUAAACCUCAACUCUCAGGUUGUGACAUAACUUUUGUAUAUGAAGCAUUUUCAUGUACUUUAAGCUCUAUGUUAAAAGAAUUUGUGAACUAAUGGAAGCUAUGUAUCGAUCUGAAUUUGCAUAUUUCCCAUAAGCAGUAGUUCUAAUGACAUGUUUACUUUAAAAUUUCUUACUCGUUCAUGUGAAUCUUUAUACUUGCUUGCAUUUUUGUAAUAUCAGAUUCACAGUGAAGCUUCCAUUCAUGUGAAAGUAAUAUUUUGCGGAUUUUAUGUCACAGUGAUGUUUGUGUGAAAUUAAUAUUUGGCAAUUUCAAUGUCACAGGAAACCAUAUGAAACUAAAAUAACGAAAUCCACAAUAGAAGCUUCAAACUAAAAUAAUUUGCAGAACAAAAGUCACAAUCCAUUCCCUAAACCCGAUAUUUACUUUAAAAGAAGUAAGUAAAAAACCUGAAGUGGUUUAUUUCCAUUGUAGAAUGCGCGGAAGGAAUUUUGGUAUCUGUCAUAUUUGUAGAGCGAAGGGGCACUUCUUGCCGAUUGUUGAAGAAAUGUCACACACAUUCCAAACUCGAGUUCGCCUCCUCAAUGAAGAAGACCUACAAAUUUCGGUGAACGUGACAAUAUGCAAGGUAAAUGGUAGUGUGGAAGCGAAUGCAAAAAGGAAGGGUUGAUCUGAUUAUUAGAUAAACCUCAACUCUCAAGUUGUGACAUAACUUUUGUAUAUGGAGCAUUUUUAUGUACUUUAAGCUCUAUGUUAAAAGAAUUUGUGAACUAAUGAAAGCUAUGUAGCGAUUGAAAUUUGCAUGUUUCCCAUAGGCAGCAGUUGUAAUGACAUGUUUACUUUAAAAUUUCUUACUCGUUCAUGUGAAUCUUUAUACUUGUUUGCAUUUUUGUAAUAUCAGAUUCACAGUGAAGCUUCCAUUCUUGUGAAAGUAAUAUUUUGCAGAUUCUAUAUGUCACAGUGAUGUUUGUGUGAAAGUAGUAUUUGGCAAUUUCAAUGUCACAGGAAACCAUAUGAAACUAAAAUACUGAAAUCCACAAUAGAAGCUUCAAACUAAAAUAAUGUAUAGAACAGAAGUCACAAUCCAUUCACUAAACCCCGAUAUUUACUUUAAAAGAAGUAAGUAAAAAACCUGAAGUGAUUUAUUUCCAUUAUAGGAUGCGCGGAAGGAAUUUUGGUAUCUGUCAUAGUUGUAUAGCGAAGGGGCACUUCUUGCCGAUUGUUGAAGAAAUGUCACACACAUUCCAAACUCGAGUUCGCCUCCUCAAUGAAGAAGACCUACAAAUUCCGGUGUACAUGACAAUAUGCAAGGCAAAUGGUAGUGUGGAAGCGAAUGUAAAAAGGAAGGGUCGAUCUGAUUAUUAGAUAAACCUCAACUCUCAGGUUGUGACAUAACUUUUGUAUAUGGAGCAUUUUCAUGUACUUUAAGCUCUAUGUUAAAAGAAUUUGUGAACUAAUGGAAGCUAUGUAGCGAUCUGAAUUUGCAUGUUUCCCAUAAGCAACAGUUGUAAUGACAUGUUUACUUUAAAAUUUCUUACUCGUUCAUGUGAAUCUUUAUACUUGCUUGCAUUUUUGUAAUAUCAGAUUCACAGUAACGCUUCCAUUCUUGUGAAAGUAAUAUUUUGCAGAUUAUAUAUGUCACAGUGAUGUUUGAGUGAAAGUAAUAUUUGGCAAUUUCAAUAUGUCACAGGAAACCAUAUGAAACUAAAAUAAUGAAAUCCACAAUAGAAGCUUCAAACUAAAAUAAUGUACAGAACAGAAGUCACAAUACAUUCCCUAAACCCCGAUAUUUACUUUAAAAGAAGUAAGUAAAAAACAUGAAGUGGUUUAUUUCCAUUGUAGAAUGCGCGGAAGGAAUUUUGGUAUCUGUCAUAGUUGUAGAGUGAAGGGGCACUUCUUGCCGAUUGUUGAAGAAAUGUCACACACAUUCCAAACUCGAGUUCGCCUCCUCAAUGAAGAAGACCUACAAAUUUCGGUGAACGUGACAAUAUGCAAGGCAAAUGGUAGUGUGGAAGCGAAUGCAAAAAGGAAGGGUUAAUCUGAUUAUUAGAUAAACCUCAACUCUCAGGUUGUGAUAUAACUUUUGUAUACGGAGCAUUUUUAUGUACUUUAAGCUCUAUGUUAAA